rnacentral:rRNA from 1 species
GAUGAACGCUGGCGGCGUGCUUAACACAUGCAAGUCGAACGAUGAAGCUGGAGCUUGCUCUGGUGGAUUAGUGGCGAGCGGGUGAGUAACACGUGAGCAACCUGCCCCUGACUCUGGGAUAACAGCCGGAAACGGCUGCUAAUACCGGAUAUGCACCAUGAACGCAUGUUCUGUGGUGGGAAAGAUUUUUCGGUUGGGGAUGGGCUCGCGGCCUAUCAGCUUGUUGGUGAGGUAAUGGCUCACCAAGGCGUCGACGGGUAGCCGGCCUGAGAGGGUGACCGGCCACACUGGGACUGAGACACGGCCCAGACUCCUACGGGAGGCAGCAGUGGGGAAUAUUGCACAAUGGGCGAAAGCCUGAUGCAGCAACGCCGCGUGAGGGAUGACGGCCUUCGGGUUGUAAACCUCUUUUAGCAGGGAAGAAGCGAGAGUGACGGUACCUGCAGAAAAAGCGCCGGCUAACUACGUGCCAGCAGCCGCCGUAAUAC